AGCUCCAAUAGCGUAUAUUUUAGUUGUUGCAGUUAAAAAGCUCGUAGCCGUAUUUCUGGUGGGAGAAUGCAGUCCGACUUUAUGUCGGUACUCGCAUCCUCCGGCCAUCCUUGGGUCUAGCCAGUUUGGCAUUAAGUUGUCGAGCUGGGGAUGCCCAUCGUUUACUGUGAAAAAAUUAGAGUGUUCAAAGCAGACUUAUGUCGUUGAAUAUAUUAGCAUGGAAUAAUAAAAUAGGACAUCAGUGCUAUUGUGGUGGUUUGCGCACCGAUGUAAUGAUAAAUAGGAACAGUUGUGGCUAUUCGUAUUCAUUUGUAAGAGGUGAAAUUCUUAGAUUAAAGGAAGACGAACUACUGCGAAAGCAUUUAGCAGGGAUGUUUUCA
rnacentral:rRNA from 1 species